rnacentral:rRNA from 5 species
GUCUAAACGACUCUCGGCAACGGAUAUCUCGGCUCUCGCAUCGAUGAAGAACGUAGCGAAAUGCGAUACUUGGUGUGAAUUGCAGAAUCCCGUGAACCAUCGAGUCUUUGAACGCAAGUUGCGCCCGAAGCCUUCUGGCCGAGGGCACGUCUGCCUGGGCGUC